rnacentral:lncRNA from 1 species
UGAAGACAGCUACAGUGUACUUACAUAUAAUAAAUAAAUCUUUAAAAAAAUACAUAGAUCUUUAAAAAACAAUAUCAUAUAUAUAUAUAUAUGAUAUAUAUAUAUCAUCUGAUAUAUAUAUAUAUGUAUCAUAUGAUAUAUAUAUAUAUAUAUAUCAUCGGAGCCAUCUCUCCAACAUCUUUUUUUUUUUUCCCCAACAGCAUUUUUUUUUUUAGAUAGUCUCUGAGUGAUGCUCAAGUGGGUCUCAAGCUUCUGGGUUAAGUCAGCCACUCAAAUAGAGAAAAAAAAUUUUUUUUAAUUCUAGCUGGCCUGGAAUCCACUGUUGUGUUGAUUUAAAUAGGUUUGGCCCCCCAUAGACUCGUGUUUGAAUGCUUGGCCCACAGGGAAUGACACUAUUAGGAAGUGUGUCCUUGUUGGAGGAAUUGUGUCACUGUGUAGGUAGGCUUUGUGGGUUCCUAGUGUUCAAGCUCUGCUCAGUGUGGAAGAGACAGUCUCUCCUAGCUGUCUUCGGAUCAAGACUGCAACCAUGUCGGCCUGCACACUGCUAUGCGUCCUGCCAUGAUGAUAACGGACUGUAAGCCAGCCCCAAUGAAAUGUUUGCCCUUCUAAGAGUUGCCAUGGUCAUGGUGUCUCUUCACAGCAAUGAAACCCUAAGACAACUGUGUACCUACUGUAUGCUGGCCUUGAACGUACAGCAAUGCUCUUGCCUCUGUCUCCCAAGUACUGGAAUUACAGGCAUGAGCUACUAUGUCUAGCUAGAACAUGUUUUAUUUCAUAUUUAAACUACAUGUAAAUUGGGAUUUUCAAGCACAAUAAAAUAUUAAAAACU